UUCGAAAGGAGAGAUUCACCGCGACUCGUGUCGUCGGCGAGGGCGCGUACGGACGUCGGUCGGACUUCGGUCCGAUUGCGCCGCACGCGUUCCGUCUGGACGUGCGAUCGCGUGCACUUCUCUCCCUGUAGGACGUCGCGACCCGUUGGGCGUCGGUCUACGAGCGACGGUGAAGUCCGUCGGGCGAUCUCACGAUCUUGUCCCGACGAGCCCGUCGUCUCCGGCCGACUCGCUCGACGGUAGUCAUUUUGAGCGCGGGGCCGCGACCUAGUUCGCGUCGAUCUCGCGUCCCGGCCCGGAUCCGGGCUACUGUUCGCGGGGUGUUCUCGGACGACUCCUAUACACGCUCGUCAGCGACGCUAUCGCUUUGGGUACUUUCAGGACCCGUCUUGAAACACGGACCAGGAGUCUAGCAUGCACGCGAGUCUUAGGACUCUUUAACUAAUCCUAAAGGCAAAAUGAAAGUGAAGGUCCGCCUUUGCGCGCGACCUAGGGAAGAUGAGUCGACGUAGCCGCAAGGUGACCGUCGGCUCCGCACUCCCGGGGCGUCUCGAUCUCAUCGCGAGAUGAGGCGCACCCAGAGCGUACACCCU
rnacentral:rRNA from 1 species